rnacentral:tRNA from 1 species
GCUGGCGUAGCUCAAUUGGCAGAGCAGCUGACCUGUAAUCAGCAGGUUGGGGGUUCAAGCCCCUCCGCCAGCUCCA